rnacentral:rRNA from 1 species
AACGAACGCUGGCGGCAGGCUUAACACAUGCAAGUCGAACGCCCCGCAAGGGGAGUGGCCGCCGGGUGAGUAACGCGUGGGAACAUACCCUUUCCUGCGGAAUAGCUCCGGGAAACUGGAAUUAAUACCGCAUACGCCCUACGGGGGAAAGAUUUAUCGGGGAAGGAUUGGCCCGCGUUGGAUUAGCUAGUUGGUGGGGUAAAGGCCUACCAAGGCGACGAUCCAUAGCUGGUCUGAGAGGAUGAUCAGCCACAUUGGGACUGAGACACGGCCCAAACUCCUACGGGAGGCAGCAGUGGGGUAUAUUGGACAAUGGGCGCAAGCCUGAUCCAGCCAUGCCGCGUGAGUGAUGAAGGCCUUAGGGUUGUAAAGCUCUUUCACCGAUGAAGAUAAUGACGGUAGUCGGAGAAGAAGCCCCGGCUAACUUCGUG